UACGGAGGAUCCAAGCGUUAUCCGGAAUUACUGGGCGUAAAGAGUUGCGUAGGUGGCAUUGUAAGUGGGUAGUGAAAGCGUUCGGCUCAACCGAAUACACAUUACCUAAACUGCAAAGCUAGAGGAUGAGAGAGGUUAUUGGAAUUCCCAGUGUAGGAGUGAAAUCCGUAGAUAUUGGGAAGAACACCGAUGGCGUAGGCAGAUAACUGGCUCAUUCCUGACACUAAGGCACGAAAGCGUGGGUAGCAAACGGG
rnacentral:rRNA from 1 species